rnacentral:tRNA from 1 species
UUCUAGGUAGCUCAAACAGGUAGAGCUCCGAACAAUUAAUUCGGAUGUUGUGGGUUCGAGUCCCACCCAAAAAA